rnacentral:rRNA from 1 species
GAUGAACGCUGGCGGCGUGCCUAAUACAUGCAAGUCGAGCGAACGGACGAGAAGCUUGCUUCUCUGAUGUUAGCGGCGGACGGGUGAGUAACACGUGGAUAACCUACCUAUAAGACUGGGAUAACUUCGGGAAACCGGAGCUAAUACCGGAUAAUAUUUUGCACCGCAUGGUUCAAAAGUGAAAGACGGUCUUGCUGUCACUUAUAGAUGGAUCCGCGCUGCAUUAGCUAGUUGGUAAGGUAACGGCUUACCAAGGCAACGAUGCAUAGCCGACCUGAGAGGGUGAUCGGCCACACUGGAACUGAGACACGGUCCAGACGCCUACGAGAGGCAGCAGUAGGGAAUCUUCCGCAAUGGGCGAAAGCCUGACGGAGCAACGCCGCGUGAGUGAUGAAGGUCUUCGGAUCGUAAAACUCUGUUAUUAGGGAAGAACAUAUGUGUAAGUAACUGUGCACAUCUUGACGGUACCUAAUCAGAAAGCCACGGCUAACUACGUG